AUCUUUUUAGUAAAAUAAUACAAAUGACUUCCAAUCAUUAAAUUCUAGUUAAACUCUAGAAAAAGAUA
rnacentral:tRNA from 2 species